GACGAACCGUGCGAACGUUAUUCGGAAUCACUGGGCUUAAAGCGCGUGUAGGCGGGGCGGCACGUCCGUCGCUGAAAUCCCCCGGCUCAACCGGGGAAGUGGCGUGGAUACGACCGCCCUCGAGGGACGUAGGGGGGCCUGGAACUUCCGGUGGAGCGGUGAAAUGCGUUGAGAUCGGAAGGAACGCCCGUGGCGAAAGCGAGGCCCUGGACGUCUACUGACGCUGAGACGCGAAAGCCAGGGGAGCGAACGGG
rnacentral:rRNA from 1 species